CUUAACCAGCUGCUAGGUUUUCUGCAAAUGGCCAAACCCCAAAAUAUUUAUAAAAAGAAACAACCCAAAAUUAGUGGGGUGAAAUCAAUAAAUCACCAUGGUCGAAUCCUUUUUCAUUCAGAUGUUCAAGCCUUUCAUGAUUUCAUCGAAAAUUUUCUAGUAUUUAAUCUUAUCCAAUUUAUUUUUCUCACGCAACGGUUCUUUUAAAGAUCUGUUUGCCACAUAAUAAAACUAUAUGUUAGAAUCACAAAUCAACUUAUUGACACAACAAUUAAUUUUAUUUAUACCUGUCACAAAGUUCCUGUUGAAUGUAAAAAUGGGGAACAUUAAGGUGUUUAAGUGAAGAACUUCCUCGAGAAAUUCCAAAAUUAGGUGUUUCCACUACAUAUGUCUAUCAAAUUAUUUUUUCUUCUGAAUUUUAGACAUGGGUGGAGCCACCUCAUUUUGGGAUUUUUGUGGGAGUUUACUUAAACAUUUUGAUGUUACUCAUCUUUACAUUCAGCAUGAACUUUGUAAGAGGUAUAAAGAAAAUUAAUUGUGUCAAUAAGUUAACUGUGAUUAACAUAUAGUUUUAUUAUGUGACAAACAAAUCUUUACAAGAACCGGGGUGUGAGAAAGAUAAAUAUGAUAGAGUUACAUACUGGAAAUUUUUUGAUCAAAUCAUGAAGGGCUUUUAAUAUCUCAAAAUGGGUCAUAAUUUACUUUUCUUUCUUUAUUUAUUUUUUCCUUAUAAAUAGCAACACUCUUCACUGCUUUUAUUUUUAUAUAGUGAUGGUCGAUAUGGGAAGCGGCUAGAUACAUAUAUUCCCCAACAUUCGAUUAAACAUAAUCAUUUGUCUUUCUUACCAAAGAAAAAAAAAACAAAAGAGAAUCAUUUCUAAAAGAAAAUAAUCAGAUCUACCUUAGUCAUUUGUGUCUUUCUUCACGUUCUUCUAUUCCUUAUUCAUCCUGCAAUGUGGUUUGAUUAUUGAGAGUUGAGACCGUAUAUUUUAUAGGCAAUUUUAUAAAGGUCAUUUUAAUUGUGCAUGAAUCAUUUUUUAAGAACGUCCUCCAUUAUCGUAGAACAUCCAUAAAAAUAAAAAGAAUGAAAAAAAGUCGGAAAGGAAGGUACACAAGGGAAAUAGCUUAUUUUUCCAUAAUUAAUUUAAAAUUAUAAAGUUUAUUUUCUGAUUAGGUAGACACUUUCCAUCUCAGCAUUGCAUAGAGGACAAUUUUCUUUAUUUGUUAGUAUGGGGGCCGAAGCCAAAAAAGGGCAUACAAUACAAUUUGCAUUGUGUGCAGCGCAAAUGGACAUGUGAUGUGGAUGUGGUUACAACUUACAAAUCAUAGUUUCAUAGUUUCAAUGUUACAAAGCCCCACAAAUGAAAAUUCGGUGAUCACAACAAUGAAAUGGAAUGCUUGCCUUGAAGAAUGACAUAUUUUAUUUGUUUACUUAUUAGGUUACCAUUGAAAGAGCAUUUUUGCUCAAAUUGAAGAACGUUUAGUUAUUUAUGCAUGACUUAAUAAAUAGACGAAUAUCUCGUUUUUAGUAAAUAAGAAAAGAUUCAUGAAAAAUAAUUAAGUGGUUAAAUGAUUUUUUAUUAUAAUGAUAUUUUUUUAGAGAUGAUCUUUGAAUGAAG
rnacentral:lncRNA from 1 species